rnacentral:rRNA from 1 species
AACGCGAAGAACCUUACCAGGACUCGACUUGCCCUCUAUCGGCCCCCGAAAAGGGGCCUUCACUUCGGGUGGGAGGAGCAAAGGUGCUGCAUGGCUGUCGUCAGCUCGUGUCGUGAGAUGUUGGGUUAAGUCCCGCAACGAGCGCAACCCUCGUCCUCUGUUGCUAACAGGUUAGGCUGAGCACUCUGAGGAAACUGCCGGUGAUAAGCCGGAGGAAGGUGGGGAUGACGUCAAGUCCUCAUGGCCCUUACGUCCUGGGCUACACACGUGUUACAAUGGCGGUGACAAUGGGUCGCGAUCGCGCAAGCGCUAGCCAAUCCCCAAAAGCCGCCUCAGUUCGGAUUGCACUCUGCAACUCGAGUGCAUGAAGCUGGAAUCGCUAGUAAUCGUGGAUCAGCACGCCACGGUGAAUACGUUCCCGGGCCUUGUACACACCGGUACUA